rnacentral:rRNA from 1 species
GAUGAAUGCUGGCGGCGUGCCUAACACAUGCAAGUCGAGCGGCAGCGCGAGUAGUUUACUACUUGGCGGCGAGCGGCGGACGGCUGAGUAACGCGUGGGAACAUGCCCCAAAGUGAGGGAUAACUGCUCGAAAGGGUAGCUAAUACCGCAUAUGGUCUUCGGAUUAAAGGAUUUAUCCGCUUUGGGAGUGGCCUGCGUACGAUUAGAAAGUUGGUGAGGUAAUGGCUCACCAAGUCGACGAUCGUUAACUGGUCUGAGAGGAUGAUCAGUCAGACUGGAACUGAGACACGGUCCAGACUCCUACGGGAGGCAGCAGUGAGGAAUCUUCCACAAUGGGCGAAAGCCUGAUGGAGCAACGCCGCGUGCAGGAUGAAGGCCUUCGGGUCGUAAAGCUCUUUCGUCCGGGACGAUAAUGACGGUACCGGAAGAAGAAGCCCCGGCUAACUUCGUGCCAGCCGCCGCGGUAA